rnacentral:rRNA from 1 species
UGGUCAAGUUAUUAAGGGUGCAGGGCGGAUGCCUUGGCACUAGGAGCCGAUGAAGGACGUGAUAAGCUGCGAUAAGCUUCGGGGAGUUGCACGUAAACUUUGAUCCGAAGAUUUCCGAAUGAGGAAACUCACUUAGAGUAAUGUCUAAGUAUCAUUAAGUGAAUACAUAGCUUAAUGAGGGGAACUCAGGGAACUGAAACAUCUAAGUACCUGAAGGAAGAGAAAGAAAUUCGAUUCCGUAAGUAGCGGCGAGCGAACGCGGAUUAGCCCAAACCAAUAAAGUUUUCUUUAUUGGGGUUGCGGACAUAUCAUAACGAAGAGGUAUCGUAAUUGAAGAGGUUUGGAAAGACCCACCACAGAAGGUAAUAGUCCUGUAUGUUAAA